rnacentral:rRNA from 1 species
UACGGAGGGGGCGAGCGUUAUUCGGAAUUAUUGGACGUAAAGGGCGCGUAGGCGGCUUGGUAAGUCAAAGGUGAAAUCCCUCGGCUCAACCGAGGAAUUGCCUUUGAAACUGCCUGCUUGAGGCCGGGAGGGGGUAGCGGAAUUCCCAGUGUAGCGGUGAAAUGCGUAGAUAUCCGGAGGAACACCGGUGGCGAAGGCGGCUUCCUGGACCGACACUGACGCUGAGGCGCGACAGCGUGGGGAGCAAACAGG